rnacentral:rRNA from 1 species
GACGAACGCUGGCGGCGUGCUUAACACAUGCAAGUCGAACGGUGAAGCGCCUUCCUUUUUGGUGGGUGUGGAUGAGUGGCGAACGGGUGAGUAACUCGUGAGUAACCUGCCCCCUCCUUCUGGAUAACCGCAUGAAAGUGUGGCUAAUACGGGAUAUUCUGGGCCUGUCGCAUGAUGGGUCUGGGAAAGAUUUUGUUCUGGCGGGGGAUGGGGUGGUGGCCUAUCAGCUGGUUGGUGGGGUGAUGGCCUACCAAGGCGGUGGCGGGUAGCCGGCCGGGGGGGGUGGGCGGCAACACUGGGGCGGAGGGACGGCGCCGACUCCGACGGGGGGCAGCAGGGGGGAAUAGUGCACAAUGGGCGGAAGCCUGCUGCAGCGACGCCGCGGGGGGGAUGGAGGCCUUCGGGUUGUGAACCUCUUUCGCCAGUGAAGAGGGCCUGCCUCGUUUGUGGGUGGGUUGACGGUAGCUGGAGAAGAAGCGCCGGCUAACUACGUG